rnacentral:lncRNA from 1 species
GAAAGAUCUCCCAUGCUCAUGGAUUGGCAGGAUUAAUUUAGUAAAAAUGGCCAUUUUACCAAAAGCAAUCUACAGAUUCAAUGCAAUCCCCAUCAAAAUACCAAUCCAAUUCUUCAAAGAGUUAGACAGAACAAUUUGCAAAUUCAUCUGGAAUAACAAAAAACCCAGGAUAGCUAAAGCUAUCCUCAACAAUAAAAGGACUUCAGGGGGAAUCACUAUCCCUGAACUCAAGCAGUAUUACAGAGCAAUAGUGAUAAAAACUGCAUGGUAUUGGUACAGAGACAGACAGAUAGACAAAUGGAAUAAAAUUGAAGACCCAGAAAUG